rnacentral:rRNA from 1 species
CCUACGGGCGGCAGCAGUGAGGAAUAUUGGGCAAUGGGCGAGAGCCUGAACCAGCCAAGUCGCGUGAGGGAGUAAUGCCCUAUGGGUUUUAAACCUCUUUUGUCGGGGAGCAAAAGCCGGACGUGUCCGGCUGUGAUCGUACCCGAAGCAAAAGCAUCGGCUAACUCCGUGCCAGCAGCCGCGGUAAUACGGGGGAUGCGAGAGUUAUCCGGAUUUAUUGGGUUUAAAGGGUGCGCAGGCGGAUUUUUAAGUCAGCGGUCAAAGCGUGGGGCUCAACCCCAUCCAGCAGUUGAAACUGGGGAUCUAGAGUGUGCGAGAGGUAUGCGGAAUGCGUGGUGUAGCGGUGAAAUGCAUAGAUAUCACGCAGAACCCCGAUUGCGAAGGCAGCAUACUGGUGCACAACUGACGCUCAGGCACGAAAGCGUGGGUAUCGAACAGGAUUAGAUACCCCUGUAGUC